rnacentral:lncRNA from 1 species
AUAUAUUUAUUGAACACGAAUAAGUGAGAAAAAUGAACUAGUAAUAGUUAAUACAAUUUGAAAAAUUUGCGCCAAAAAUACUUUAUUAUCGAUUAUUUCCCUUUGCUCUUUUUCCUGGAUCACUCGAGCGUUUGUAAACAAUGACGACCUUGUCGGAAAUGUUAUCUAGUUUUUUAUUUUCGAUCUGUUCAACCUUUUAUCGGAAACGUCUAGACUUGUACAGAUAACCAAUCUUUUCAGAAUUUAUUUGACAAUUGCAACACAUCUGGCGCUUGGUUGUCUCAUUUUGUCGUAGAACAUUAGCAUCCUUGAAAGUGUAGCAUUUGUAGAAAUUCAACCUCCGGCCUGUUAAACUACGUUUUUACAUUCAUUCACGCUGUCAGCACUGUUAUCGCCAGCAAUUUCCU